GGAGCUGUGAGGCCAGACCAGCUGGUCUCCUGAUUCACAGCAGCUCCGACAGGCUCUGUGCACUGGUGGUGGGAGCAGAGGGCUGAACAGGCCUUGUGGGGACAACACGCCGCAUAGACAACACAUGUCAUGAUAGAAAAAGCCAUGCUGUUGUGAGCUCCGGGGUGUAGGAGAGUGUGUGUGUGCAUGUGUUUGUCUUUGUAUGUAUGAUCUCUGGGGGCUGGGCAUGGAGGGCAGAUGAGGCAUGUGACGGUCUCAGGCAUGCAAUAAUAGGAGAAAAUUUGGGGUUCUGACAUCUGCGUGGGCAUGAGUGUGAAUUGGGGGUGAAGGAGAGAGAUCAGGCAGCAGGGCCCCAUACAUGUAAAAACAGGAGAAGCCAUGUGGUAAUGGGGUUCUGGUGAGUAUGCAUAUGUACACAUGCAUACGUGACUCUGUGUGUGUGUGUGUGUGUGUGUGUGCGUGUGUUUGUGCACCGAAUGGCAGAGGAUGGAGGUCAGAAUCAAACCUGCCAACAUUGCCAAAUAUGUUUUCAAAGAGAAGCCAUGUCAUCAAGGGGCCCAGGUGUGAGCGUGUGUGUGCACGUGUGUGCAAUGGGGGUGGGGGGACGGAACCGCACCACCCAGAGCGAUGCACAUUGUAUGUGAGAAGCCAUGUGGGACUGGGGUUUGUGUGUGUGUGAGCACGCUCACCUGUUUGUGUUCAAAUGCACACAGAAGUUCCAGCUCACAGCAGGAGCACAGACGGACAAUCAGGAAGGCAGGGAGCCAGAGUCUGUGCACUUCUGUCACGGGGAGAGAUCCUGUGUCACGAAGAUUUGCUGAGAUGACAUAGGCGUAGGCAUGAGGAGGCUGGCCACGUGAGGGUGAAAUACUUCAGGGACUCCUGGCUGGUAACUCCUUUGCCCCAGGUAGAGUGUCCUGUUGGAAGGGAAAAUGACACUGGGGGAGGGGCAGUGCCCAGAUCGCCAGAUUCUGGUGAAGGUGUUUGCCAAUUUGCUCUCAUCAACCACAGACAUGGACCACUAUCUUUCUUUAGCCCAUCUAGUUUCAGAGCACGCGCCCUCAUCCGUGUUCCUAGCACACACGUGUGUAUGUGCUUUCGUGUAUGACACGCUCUGAACAUGUCAUUCCUUCUGAGGCUAUGCACCUAGGUAGACUGUGACCAGAGGAGGACAGGGAGGUGGCAGGGGGAGAAGGAGCAUCAGAGGAGGGGAGAAUGGCAGAAAUCAGAGGCACAUUUAGGGAAAUCCCCUGAAAGGGACUGAAAUGGUUUCUUGGGUCCUCAACGGAGGCAGGAGGACAGGAAGCAGGAGGACACGCUGCCUGAUCUCGCCUCCUGUUCAAGCCUUAUGUCCAUGUGUGCGGAUGACUUUCAGCCUCUGCUUGGGUGGCCUGUGUUUGUCUUUGGAACCAGCAAAGACCACUUCUGCCCACCUAUCAGCUGUGUCUCUCCCGAGGUCCUAAAGGAGCCCCUGCAUCUUGGGUGCAGAGCUAUUCUUAGCAAGAUCAGAACUCUGAGGCCUCCAGAUGCAGGAAAGCAGCGACAGACCCAGUAAUUCCAGCCAAGAGUCUGGCCCACCUCGGACAGCCUCCUCAGCUCCAUUGGACCCCGAGGCCAGGUGUCAGGCAGUGAGCAAGGAGCAGAGACGAGAGCAGACAGUGACACAGGGUGAAAGAGGGGAAGUGAAGCAGGCACUCCUGUCUGAGCAAAGUCCAGUGCCUCUGUUGGCCUUUCCUCCCCUCUGCACCUCCCCUUGCAAGGCAGCUGGCAGAGAGCACCCCCCACCCCGCAACAGUACCUGCAGAUCUCCGCCCUGCCCCUCUUGGAUCCGCCUGUUCUUCCCAUUCUAGUCCUGAGCUAGGGGUCCUGCUCCAUCGCCGGUCAGAGCAUCUUUGGAGCAUGCACAAGAGAAAAGACCUGGAGUGGGCUUCCGCGUGGUCCUUGGCCAGCCCUCUGCUUCAGCCUCAUGCCUCAGACUGGUCUGUCCUUAACUCUGGGUCUGCCUUUGGGGUCCUGGCCAGAGCACAUCUGAACCCAGCCCCCUGAGGAGGGGCCUCUCCUGACUCCAGAGGCCCCCAUGCCACUGUGCUCCAAGCCCCCCACCCACCUCUGCCUGGGCCAGCCUCUUGGCUGGGCCUCCCAUAAUGGGGACUUGGGUUCCCAGGCCCCUCAGCUGAGCCCCCAGACAGCACCAUGUGAGCCCCCUGGCCUGUCCCACCACCCAGACCAGAGUGCCUGGAUGCCCCCCAACCCCACUCAACAUGGUUCCCACACACUGGUCUCUGGGCCAUUCAGGGGAUGCCCUUUGUGGACACGCAGAAUUUCUAUGAAUAUAGUUUUUUGUAAACAUUUUGUAACAAUUUGGGUUUCAUAGUAACUGUGUUACUUGCCAAUCAUUCUAGGCUGAUGUAAAUAAAUUUCCAAACAAAUCCGAUUAUUUUCCUUUUUAAGACACUGUGAUAUAUCAAAGUGCACAGUUUGCUGUAUGAAGUAAUAUGGUUUUAAAUUUUAAAUAAAGAAAUGUUUC
rnacentral:lncRNA from 1 species